rnacentral:lncRNA from 1 species
UCACACCUACCAGUGUGACAUUUUGCACCCGAGCCCUCAACCAUUUUCUGGGAUUCAGUUUAAUUCAUGAGUUCAUUCAAUACAGAGUCUGAGAUGUUAGUGGAGUUCACCGUGUAACCCUUCCCUUUUUCAUGAGGAUUUGGUCAGCAGCACCCAAGACACAUGUCCCAAUCACUGAAAAUCUCAUCGUUGCAGAGAAAUGACAAGAGGUGCUCAGGACUCACGGUUUGAGCCACCUGGAUAGGGCUCGCUUCUCCUCCGUCAGCCCACGAUGCACUUGCUUUGCUCAUGGGGCUUGGGCUGACUGUGGUUCUUCAUUCCCCGUCGAGCCAGGUCCCCUGUCUUUCUGGGCCUCGAUUUUCUCUCUGUUGCAAUUGAGUUGGAACAUGUGGAGGUGAAAGGCAGCCAGGUGCUUGGUGAAUCCCAAGCACAGUGUCCACACUCAGCCAUCAGCUUGUCCCGAAGCCAGCUCCUCCCUGAGCCCAUGGGGCAGCAUUUCUCCCUUGCAAUUAAUUCUUGCUCCAAUUUAAACCCUUCCCAGGGAAUGCUGAGCAGGUGCCCUAGGAAUGAAUGAGUCCCAGGAAGGAAGGGAGCAAAUCGGGGCGAGGUGAUGGCAGGGUUGGGGGAGGGGGGCAGCUGGGAAGACCAACGGUGGGCACUCCAGGAGGGUGGGGUUCCUGUGUCCCAUUUUUUUAGCUCCUGCUCUUGAGUCCAGAGCCAAAUUCAUCAUCCUCCUCCCAGCCUGCUUCUGCUCUACAGUUACCCCUGCCCAGCCCCAGCCCCAGUACAGCCAACUCUUCGCUUCUGUGCUCCCUUUUUCUCCAAAUGCGCCUCCCAAAAACAAUCUUCCAGGUGUUCAAGAUGGAAACACCCAUUGUCAAGGUUAACAACAGCAGUAGUAAUAACAGCUCCCCUCCCCAAGCACGCACAGGCCGAAGGGUGAACAGGCACGGUGCCAGGUGUUUUGGACAAUCAUGUCCUUUCAUUCUCACACCGCUGAACUGGUAGAUGUGACUUUGCUGCCAGUUUGCAGAGAAGGAAAUUGAGGCUCAGAGAAGAGCCUCCCUGUGAGGCAGAGCUGGGGAUUUGCACCCAGGCCCACCUGGCUCCAGAGCUGGCUCCCCAUCACCUAGGGGGGCCCUUCUCACAGCACCUACAACUCCCGGCCUUCUUCUCUCACCUGGUGAUGAGUCUUUUUUUUGUUGUUUUAUUUGUAUUUAUUUUAUUAUUUUGAGAUGGAGUCUCGCUCUUUUGUCCAGACUGGAGUGCAGUGGCAUGAUCUCAGCUCACUGCAACCUCAUCUCCCAGGUUCAAGCGAUCCUCCUGCCUCAGCCUCCUGAGUAGCUGGGAUUACAGGCACCCGCCACCACAUCUGGCUAAUUUUUGUAUUUUUAGUACAGAUGGGGUUUCACCAUGUUGGCCAGGCUGGUCUCGAACUCCUGACCUCUGGUGAUCCGCCCGCCUCAGCCUCCCAAAGUACUGGGAUUAUAGGCGUGAGCCACUGUGCCUGGCCGUGUCUUUUAGAUCUUUCCUCCCCUACACCACCCUCCCGCUUCCCCAGCCCCAGCCCCAGCCCAGGCUCUCGGACUCUCCUGGGACAGUGCCAUGGUCUGCCCUGGUCCCCUAGCCUCUUUGCUCUACCCACUCAGUCACUGUCCAGCAGAGGCUUGUCCUGGCUGGGAGGGUGCAGAGCCCAGUCUCUGCUCAUCAUUGCUCCAGAGCUGGGCCACAUAGGACAAAUGGCUUCACUCCCAGGGCUCCAGUCACCCCAUCUAUACAAUGGAGGAAACUCGUCCCCCCGCAACACCAGGUCCAUGGAAUUCACCUGCUCCUACUUUGCUCAAAGGUGCCACAUAUGCUGGUAAUAGCCUUGACCAGCCCUGAGGAGCCCCCGCGAGGCUAACAGUGAAAGUUGCCACUUUGGAAAGCAGAGAGACUCACUUCCAGCACAGCCUCUGAUGUAGGGGAUGGGGGCAGGUGAGGGUGGCAGGAGCUGGGGCGUGCUCAGAGGGCAGGAGCGGCCAGCUUGCCGGGAGCAGGCACUGGCAGAGGCUGCACCAGAUGGCUCUGGCUGUCCCCGCUCCUCAUUAAAGCAGCCGCCCGAGGGCUGCUGCCCACCUGAAAUGCAGAGGUAGCUCACCCAGCCCUGCUGAGGGUACUGUGCCCAGCCAAGCUGCUGUCCUUAGAUACUUGGCCUGCUCAGCUGUGCCCUGGAGGCCCCUAACUGAGGUCUGAAAGCCAGAGGCCAGUGAGGGCAGGACUGGAUACAGCCUCCUCUCUGCAUGGAUGGGAUGUUGACUGAAACCCAGAGAAGACCAGAGACACCGUAGCUCUCCCUCGACUCACACAGCAAAUGUCUUGAGACCCGGAAACAGCAGCGCCAUGCCAAACCCACCCCUGGAACACUGACCUGUCUGCAUCUUCCAGCACCCCAAACCUGGGUGAGGUGUGUGGGGGCAGAAGAGGGGUCUCCGUGAUGUAACUAUGCCCUUUGUAAUAGAUGUAUAUGAUUUUUUAAAACUCAAGCAGUGUAAAAGAAAGCAGAUAAGUGAUCUUCCCGC